ACUAUGGGUCCAAUGGUGGUAGAGCAUCCGCUUAGUAUGCAGAAAGCCCCAGGUUCAAUCCCUGAUAUCUGUA
rnacentral:tRNA from 1 species